UUAGUACUCCCUCCAUCCAACAAAGAAUGUCUCAAUUUGACCAAAUUAGAAUGCAUCAAUACACUAAGUCAUGUCUAGAUACAUUCAAAUCUUGACAAACUUGAGACAUCUUUUGUUGGACAGAGGAAGUAUAAA
rfam:Brachypodium distachyon strain Bd21 chromosome 1, whole genome shotgun sequence.